AGGAUAAACGCUGGCGGCGUGCCUAACACAUGCAAGUCGAACGUCCUACGCAAGUAGGGAGUGGCGGACGGGUGAGUAACACGUGGGCAAUCUACCUUUCGGUGAGGAAUACCGGCGAGAAAUCGCCGACAAUACCGCAUACGCUUCGCAAGAAGCAAAGUCGCAAGACGCCGGAGGAGGAGCCUGCGCCCGAUUAGCUCGUUGGUGGAGUAAUGGUCUACCAAGGCGACGAUCGGUAGCUGGUCUGAGAGGAUGAUCAGCCACACUGGGAUUGAGAACGGCCCAGACUCCUACGGGGGGCAGCAGUGAGGAAUUUUCGUCAAUGGGGGCAACCCUGAACGAGCAACGCCGCGUGCAGGAUGACGCUUUUCGGAGUGUAAACUGCUUUUCUCGGGGAAGAGCAAGGACGGUACCCGAGGAAUCAGCCCGGCUAACUACGUGCCAGCAGCCGC
rnacentral:rRNA from 1 species